GACAGACAGAUAGAUAGAGACAGAGAGAGAGAAUGAAAGACAGAGAGAGAGUUAGAGAGAGACAGACAGAUAGAGAGAGACAGAGAGAGAGAAUGAAAGACAGAGAGAGAGGUAGAGAGAGGAGACAGACAGAUAGAGAGAGACAGAGAGAGAGAAUGAAAGACAGAGAGAGAGGUAGAGAGAGACAGACAGAUAGAGAGAGACAGAGAGAGAGAGAAUGAAAGACAGAGAGAGAGGUAGAGAGAGACAGACAGAUAGAGAGAGACAGAGAGAGAGAAUGAAAGACAGAGAGAGGUAGAGAGAGAGAGACAGACAGAUAGAGAGAGACAGAGAGAGAGAAUGAAGACAGAGAGAGAUUUACUAGUUAUUUUAAUGGUCUUGUAA
ensembl:lncRNA